rnacentral:lncRNA from 1 species
CACUACACAUCAAAGGGAUCCAAUAUGACACUAUUUAUGAAGAUUUAAGUCAGAAGAGCCCUGAACUCCUGCAGCAUAAUCCCGUUCACAAAAAAAUUCCUGUGCUUGUACACAAAGGCAAACCAAUCUGUGAAUCACUGGUAAUUCUCGAGUAUAUUGACGAGACUUGGAAGGAAGCUCCUUUGUUACCUCAGGACCCUUACGAGAAAGCCACAGUGCGUUUUUGGGCAAAAUUUGGGGAGGAGAAGGUAAGAAACCAUUGAUCUGUUAAUUUCAGCACAAAAUAAAUAAGAAUUUCUGCCACUGCAUCAUCUACGGAUGCACCAGUCCGUCAGUAUGAAACUAUGGUGAGUGAAGGUGUUAAAAGAAGACAUGGUAAACCUAAAAUGAGUUGUUUUGAAAGACCUACAAAUCAUUAAAAUCAAUAUAGACUUAGCUAAAGAUAGGGCUCAAUGAACGAAAAAGAUUCAUAUAGGUGAUAUACAUACAUACAUACAGAUAUAUAUAUAUAUACACAUAUAUAAAAACUUAUUUUAUGCUUUCACUUUUAUUUUAUUUUUGUAUGAUGAUGAUAUGAGUUGAGCUUAAAAGAAGUGAAGAUUUCAUAUAACCGACCACAACUUGUUUGAGACUGAUGUGCAGUUGUUAUUGUUGUCUUAUUGUGUCUAUAUUAAUAUGUGAAGAGAGUGACAAGAUAAUAGUGAGUAUUACUCAGACAGUAGACAUUUUCCAGUUAUAACAAGAAGCUUACUUUUCAAGAAUGAAUUGAAUUUUUGUUGAUAUGUUUCUUUUGUCUGCAGCUUCUGCCAUCAAUAUGGAGUGUAUUCACAGGACAAGGAAACGAGAAAAACGAAGCUCUUGGUCCAGCAGUACAAAAUCUAGAACUCUUUGAAGAGCAACUGAAAGAGAAGAAAUUUUUUGGUGGAGAGGAAAUAGGAUACCUGGACCUUUCACUUGGUUGGUUGGCAUAUCUUCUUGAUGUAUUUGAAGAGGUAAUCGACCUGAAGUUGUUCGAUGCAGCCAAAUUACCUCUCUUGUCAGCAUGGAUGAAUAACUUUUAUGAUGCUCCAGUAAUCAAAGAACACUGGCCACCUCGAGACAAAUUAGUGACCAAAUUCCAGCUGCUUCAUGAAAAUUACCAGAAAGCAUUUGCUGCUAAAUGAACUAGUUUGUGAAAGUUGCUGCUGUAUUAUAGUUCAUGGAAAUAACAACAAACUCCAUCAGCUGAUGGCUGAACUGCUUGUAUCAAGUUUUGGAUGUUUUCUGAACUAUCAGGAAUAAAAGUUAUGAAAUUCUUACUUGGCUAUCUUUACUUGCUA